rnacentral:rRNA from 1 species
CCUACGGGCGGCUGCAGUGGGGAAUAUUGGACAAUGGGCGAAAGCCUGAUCCAGCCAUGCCGCGUGUGUGAAGAAGGCCUUCGGGUUGUAAAGCACUUUCAGUGGGGAAGAAAGCCUUGGGGCUAAUACCCUCGAGGAAGGACAUCACCCACAGAAGAAGCACCGGCUAACUCCGUGCCAGCAGCCGCGGUAAUACGGAGGGUGCGAGCGUUAAUCGGAAUUACUGGGCGUAAAGCGCGCGUAGGCGGUCUGAUAAGCCGGUUGUGAAAGCCCCGGGCUCAACCUGGGAACGGCAUCCGGAACUGUCAGGCUAGAGUGAAUGAGAGGAAGGUAGAAUUCGCGGUGUAGCGGUGAAAUGCGUAGAGAUCGGGAGGAAUACCAGUGGCGAAGGCGGCCUUCUGGACUGACACUGACGCUGAGGUGCGAAAGCGUGGGUAGCAAACAGGAUUAGAUACCCGGGUAGUC